UGCACAAUACAUCCACCUCGUGAAUUGACAUCAGCGCCGGAAGAGAAAAACACCGUGAAUGGUAAGUGGAGAUCAAGUCUAGGGGAGAACACGGACUCACCUUUGAAACACCGACGAGGGUCCCUCAGAAGGAUGCACGAGUCUAUUCUCGUUUCCUUGAGAUGGAGAUUGAAGAAUGAAUGGUUGUUUAUCCAUUCGUGAGGAGACGACAAAGGGAGAUAUAACGGCGAAGAAUGAAGGAUGGAGCUCUCUAACUCGUGCCUUGUCGUUGUUGAUUUGGGAUGAUUAUCGUCCCUGCACUGAAGAAUGAAGAGAAUCGUUUUUACUCUUCGGGUGAAUCCGUCGUGAUGAAGGUGAAGCGAAUCGAUAUGAAGAGUGGAACGUUGUUGAUUUGCAAAACGAAGAUGAAGAUGUUCCUUUCAGAUUCGCGUUUUGCCUCAUCGUGUUGAGUGAAUGAUGGCGGAGAUACUCCAUUUCAUACUUCCAAAGAAAUGGGAACAUGCUUCUUCUUCUGCUCUUCUAUCUGCAACUUCUGUUACAACUCUGGUGUGAAAUUCUGCAGAACAUGAAGCCAUGAAGAAUGAAUAAUCGAUUCUAGGAGGGUGGAGAAGAUGAAUGGUGAAGAAAAAAAUGGACCAAAGAAUGGAGAGUUAGGGGUAAUGAUACUUGAAGACGUCUAAUGUUGUUGUUUGUCUUUUGUUCGUGUAGCGGUAAAUUUAUGAUCAUCAAGCUACGGAUAAGUAAGACAUAAAAUAACAAGAGUCGCCACCGCGCUUUUAUUGUUUCCAGAGAUUACAGAGAUUACAAGUAAGGGGGUUGGUUACACAGUGGGAAGGUGGUAACACCCAAAGUGUCCUAGGUACUCAUAGGGAGCCAUUUUUUGUGUGCAUAUGUAUUUUGUACAAAAUAAUGUUUGCAAGCAAAUAGAAUGAGGGAUGAGAAAAGAAUUCAUUAAUUAUAUUUUUGUGUUUGACAA